rnacentral:rRNA from 1 species
UACGGAGGGUGCGAGCGUUGUCCGGAAUCAUUGGGCGUAAAGGGCGCGUAGGUGGCCCGGUCAGUCCGUGGUGAAAGCCCGGGGCUCAACCCCGGGUCGGCCGUGCGGACUGCCGGGCUCGAGCACUGUAGAGGCGGGUGGAAUUCCGGGUGUAGCGGUGGAAUGCGUAGAGAUCCGGAAGAACACCGGUGGCGAAGGCGGCCCGGCUGGGCAGUGGCUGACGCUGAGGCGCGACAGCGUGGGGAGCAAACAGG